rnacentral:rRNA from 1 species
GACGAACGCUGGCGGCGUGCUUAACACAUGCAAGUCGAACGGAAAGUCCCUGCUUUUGUGGGUUGCUCGAGUGGCGACCGGGUGAUUAACACGUGAGUAACCUGCCCUUGACUUUGGGAUAACUUCAGGAAACUGGGGCUAAUACCGGAUAGGAGCUCCUGCUGCUUGGUUGGGGUUGGAAAGUUUCGGCGGUUGGGGAUGGACUCGCGGCUUAUCAGCUUGUUGGUGGAGUAGUGGCUUACCAAGGCUUUGACGGGUAGCCGGCCUGAGAGGGUGACCGGCGACAUGGGGACGGAGAUACGGGCCAGACUACGACGGGAGACAGCAGGGGAGAAUAUUGCACAAUGGGCGGAAGGCUGAGGCAGGAACGGGGCGUGCGAGAUGAAGGGCGGCGGGUGGUAAACCGCGUUCGCCAGUGAAGAAGCGGGAGUGACGGUAAUGGGUAAAGAAGCACAGGCUAACUACGUG